GACGAACGCUGGCGGCGUGCCUAAUACAUGCAAGUCGAACGCUGAAGGAGGAGCUUGCUCUUCUGGAUGAGUUGCGAACGGGUGAGUAACGCGUAGGUAACCUGCCUGGUAGCGGGGGAUAACUAUUGGAAACGAUAGCUAAUACCGCAUAAGAGUAGAUGUUGCAUGACAUUUACUUAAAAGGUGCAAUUGCAUCACUACCAGAUGGACCUGCGUUGUAUUAGCUAGUUGGUGGGGUAACGGCUUACCAGGGCGACGAUACAUAGCCGACCUGAGAGGGGGAUCGGCCACACUGGGAAUGAGACACGGCCCAGACUCCUACGGGAGGCAGCAGUAGGGAAUCUUCGGCAAUGGACGGAAGUCUGACCGAGGAACGCCGCGUGAGGGAAGAAGGUUGUCGGAUCGUAAAGCUCUGUUGUAAGAGAAGAAAGAGUGUGAGAGUGGAAAGUUCACACUGUGACGGUAGCUUACCAGAAAGGGACGGCUAACUACGUG
rnacentral:rRNA from 1 species